rnacentral:tRNA from 1 species
GGCACCAUGGCUUAGUGGGCUAAAGCACCUGCCUUGUAAACAAAAGAUCCUGGGUUCAACUCCCAGUGCUGCUU